CAGGCUUCCCUGUGUGUUUUGGCAGGGAUUGGCCGGAACAGGGAAACAGUGAUGUGCAGAACUCAAGAAUAAUAGAAAAAGAGUGAAGUGAUACUUUCUGAAUCUCAGAAUUUCUCGUUUGGGUUCAUUUCAAAUUUGGGGCAAAGAACGCGGGGCUGGUUCUCCUUCUGUGCUUAGGGAGGGCUCUGCUCUCUCUGCGUUAGGAAUACUCUUCCGCACAAUGAUCAGUUGAAAUAUUCUCUCUCUUUUCCCAAAUAAAAUUCUGAGCACCAGUUAUAAUGCUGUGUGUUUCCCAGUCCUCAUGGGACUUGCCAUGAGUGUUUUCAAGGAGACCCGUGGAGAGCACAGUUGCCAUGUUUGUCAAAGGGCUGACUCAUGGGUGCACAUGAGCCGGGGGAAGGCACUGGCCUUUAAGGAGCUGCUACUUGGGGUGCAUAUGAGCCAGGCCCGCUCGUGUGAGGCGAGAGCCACAUGAGGAUGACUACGACACAGACGCUUUCCUCAAGGAGCUUCCAAUCCAAAGGUCAGAGGUCAGAGCACAGUAUCCAAGUGCAAGGACGGAGAUGCACCCAGGCAGUUGUGGGGGUGCAGGACACCAGCACUUACCUGGCCAGGGGCCCAGGAAGACUUCCAGGAGGAGGAGAACAAUUAAAGGCUGCCUGUAAUGGCUGUGAACAAAAACCCGUCUGCAGGGAGCAUCAUUGCUGACGGCUUGAGCGGCUGUGCUGAGUCCACCACCACAUUGAUGUUGUUGCUUCUGGCCAGUUGCUGAGCUUGGCAGGGAUACAGGCUGAGAAGUGUGGAUCUCCUCUGAUGGGCGACUUUGACUCCAGAGCACCCAUUGGCUUACCAAAACUUUCUUAGAACUGCACAACAGGCGGCCCAACCCACCUCCUUCUUUCCCAGUCUCCUCCACGGGGACAGAGCUGCAUCACGAUCCGAUGGCUCUGCCAGCUUCCUGUAGCUCCCUCCCAACCCCUACCCACACCCCUAGUAAAUCUCUAGCACAACUAAUACUAUCUUGGUGUCUGCUUCUUAAAGACUCAAAUAAUAUACCUUCCACCAACAACCCUACAAAGAGGGCAUUUUUCUCCCCAUUUCCCUGAUGAGGAAGCUGAGGCUCAGAGGGGUGGCUCAGUUGGGUUUUGAAACCCGGUCGUUCUGGCCCCAGCAUCUGCUCUCUCUACCCUGCCAUGCGGCCUCAUCCCUCCCUCGGCACUUGUUCCUUGUGGGUAGCUAGUCCUGGGUUUACCUGUUCUUCCAUCAGACUGAAUGCCUUGCACGGUCUUUGUUAUCUUUGGAAGCCCAGUUGCUAGCUCAGUGACCUACAUAGUAGGUGCCAAAUAAUUGCUUGCUGAAGGAAUGCAUCCAAGCGCCUAUUCACUGAGGACUUUCUAACCCCCCCUCUUCCAGGCAGUCUUGUUUUGCCCCCUCCCAUCCCACAGUGACUGCUCUGUCUCCGACUCCCCCUCUUGCACUUGGAUCCUCAUUGUAACUGGGACUUCAUUAUUGUCUAAUGGUCUGUGUGUUCUCUUUCUGGGUCUCCAAAUAGAGUCAUUCAGAGUCUAUUCCUUAAAGACAAGGAAGGUGUCUGUCUGCUUCUUUAGCAUCCCUACACACCCAGCAGUUGGGGACAUCUAGUAAACAUUUGAUAAAUACUUUUUGAUUGAUUGCAAUUAAUUAAAAUUAAGCUUUGUUACCCAUUUCU
rnacentral:lncRNA from 1 species